UACGGAGGGUGCAAGCGUUAUCCGGAUUCACUGGGUUUAAAGGGUGCGUAGGUGGGUUGGUAAGUCUGUGGUGAAAUCUCCGAGCUUAACUUGGAAACUGCCAUUGAUACUAUCAGUCUUGAAUAUUGUGGAGGUCAGCGGAAUAUGUCAUGUAGCGGUGAAAUGCUUAGAUAUGACAUAGAACACCAAUUGCGAAGGCAGCUGGCUACACAUAUAUUGACACUGAGGCACGAAAGCGUGGGGAUCAAACAGG
rnacentral:rRNA from 1 species